GAUGAGUCCGCGUACGAUUAGCUAGUUGGUGAGGUAAUGGCUCACCAAGGCGACGAUCGUUAGCUGGUCUGAGAGGACGAUCAGCCACACUGGGACUGAGACACGGCCCAGACUCCUACGGGAGGCAGCAGUGGGGAAUAUUGGACAAUGGGGGCAACCCUGAUCCAGCCAUGCCGCGUGAGUGAUGAAGGCCUUCGGGUUGUAAAGCUCUUUCACCGGUGAAGAUAAUGACGGUAACCGGAGAAGAAGCCCCGGCUAACUUCGUGCCAGCAGCCGCGGUAAUACGAAGGGGGCUAGCGUUGUUCGGAUUUACUGGGCGUAAAGCGCACGUAGGCGGACUUUUAAGUCAGGGGUGAAAUCCCGGGGCUCAACCCCGGAACUGCCUUUGAUACUGGAAGUCUUGAGUAUGGUAGAGGUGAGUGGAAUUCCGAGUGUAGAGGUGAAAUUCGUAGAUAUUCGGAGGAACACCAGUGGCGAAGGCGGCUCACUGGACCAUUACUGACGCUGAGGUGCGAAAGCGUGGGAAGCAAACAGGAUUAGAUAC
rnacentral:rRNA from 1 species